AGCGAACGCUAGCGGCGGGCCUAACACAUGCAAGUCGAGCGCAUACCUUCGGGUAUGAGCGGCGGACGGGUGAGUAACGCGUAGGUCAUCUACCCUUUGGUGGGGGAUAACCCAGGGAAACUUGGGCUAAUACCGCACGAGGUCUACGGAUCAAAGCCUUCGGGCGCCAGAGGAUGAGCCUGCGUCGCAUUACCUAGUUGGCGGGGUAACGGCCCACCAAGGGGACGAUGCGUAGCUGGUCUGAGAGGAUGAUCAGCCACACUGGGACUGAGACACGGCCCAGACUCCUACGGGAGGCAGCAGUGGGGAAUAUUGCGCAAUGGGGGGAAACCCUGACGCAGCCACGCCGCGUGGGUGAUGAAGGCCUUCGGUUGUAAGCCCUGUCGGGAGGGACGAAUUCUUGACGGUACCUCCAAAGAAAGCACCGGCUAACUCCGUGCCAGCAGCCGCGGUAAU
rnacentral:rRNA from 1 species